CGACACACCGGUCACGAUCGCACACGCGUCGUUUGCGCUCCACCCGUCUCCCUGGCCGGCCGUACGCGCACACGCACCGCACGAACGCGAUAUAUUUUCGAGACGGAAAAAAAAAACAAAAAAAAUUAUAAUAAUAAUUUGAUAAAAACAAAUCGCAGUGCGUUUCGUCCGUCGCCGUUUCCGCGUGGGAAACGGAUUAACGCGCUAUCCGAAUAGCACGUCCGAUACGAAUAAUAUUAUUAUUGGGUUUCGCGCUCGAUUUUUACGAGUCCGGUGCGAUAACGUAUCGUCGUAUUGAUAUAAAAUUGAUUAAAAAAAAACAAUAUUAACGAAAAUGCGUCUCGACCGCGAGGACACGACACGCGACGGCUUCCGAUAAACGCACGCGACGACAGUAUUGUAAAAAUAUCGUAAUUACCGCGCGUUGUUGCGGCGGCGUGACCGCCGCGCUGUUGUGACGGCAAAGGAGAAAGUGCGUCGUCGCCGUCUCGCGUUGUUGUAUGUGCGCCGGCGGGCAGCGGCGGUCGGACCCAUGUCCCGAGUCCUGAUCCCACGACGUACCAGCAGCC